rnacentral:rRNA from 1 species
UACGUAGGGUGCGAGCGUUGUCCGGAAUUAUUGGGCGUAAAGAGCUCGUAGGCGGUCUGUCGCGUCGGAUGUGAAAGCCCGGGGCUUAACUCCGGGUCUGCAUUCGAUACGGGCAGACUAGAGUGUGGUAGGGGAGAUCGGAAUUCCUGGUGUAGCGGUGAAAUGCGCAGAUAUCAGGAGGAACACCGGUGGCGAAGGCGGUGGUCUGGGCCGGCACUGACACUGAGGAGCGAAAGCGUGGGUAGCAAACAGG